AUUGAACGCUGGCGGCAGGCCUAACACAUGCAAGUCGAGCGGAUGAAGGGAGCUUGCUCCUGGAUUCAGCGGCGGACGGGUGAGUAAUGCCUAGGAAUCUGCCUGGUAGUGGGGGAUAGCGUCCGGAAACGGGCGCUAAUACCGCAUACGUCCUGAGGGAGAAAGUGGGGGAUCUUCGGACCUCACGCUAUCAGAUGAGCCUAGGUCGGAUUAGCUAGUUGGUGGGGUAAAGGCCUACCAAGGCGACGAUCCGUAACUGGUCUGAGAGGAUGAUCAGUCACACUGGAACUGAGACACGGUCCAGACUCCUACGGGAGGCAGCAGUGGGGAAUAUUGGACAAUGGGCGAAAGCCUGAUCCAGCCAUGCCGCGUGUGUGAAGAAGGUCUUCGGAUUGUAAAGCACUUUAAGUUGGGAGGAAGGGCAGUAAGUUAAUACCUUGCUGUUUUGACGGUACCAACAGAAUAAGCACCGGCUAACUUCGUG
rnacentral:rRNA from 1 species